rnacentral:rRNA from 1 species
CCCCGGCUUAGCCCCAAGCUGUAAAACGAUGGCAGACUCGGUGAUGGGUUGGGCUUUUGCGCCAACCCAGGAGCCGCAGGAAAACCGUUAAGUCUGGCCCCCUNGGGGAGUACGGUCGCAAGGCCUGAAACUUAAAGGAAUUGGCGGGGGAGCACCACAAGGGGUGGAAGCCUGCGGUUCAAUUGGAGUCAACGCCGGGAAUCUUACCCGGGGGCGACAGCAGUGUGAAGGUCAAGCUGAAGACUUUACCAGACAAGCUGAGAGGAGGUGGCAUGAACCGUCCGCCAGCUCGUGCCGUGAGGUGUCCUGUUACAGUCAGGUAACGAGCAAGAUCCCUGCCUCUAGUUGCUACCACCGUUCUCAGGAACGGAGGGGCUAAUUAGAGGGACCGCCGCCGCUAAGGCGGAGGAAGGAGGGGGCUACGGCAGGUCAGUAUGCCCCGAAACCCUCGGGCCACACGCGGGCUGCAAUGGUAAGGACAGCGGGUUCCGAUCCCGAAAGGGGGAGGCAAUCCUACAAACCUUACCUCAGUUAUGAUUGAGGCCUGAAACUCGCCCUCAUGAAUAUGGAAUCCCUAGUAACCGCGUGUCAUCAUCGCGCGGUGAAUACGUACCCUGCUCCUUGCACACACCGCCCGUCGCUUCACCGAAGCUGGUUACUUGGCGAGGUGGCGCCUAAUUGGCGCUAUCGAACCUGGGGGAAGCAACGGGGGAGAAU